UACGGGGGGGGCAAGCGUUGUUCGGAAUUACUGGGCGUAAAGGGCGCGUAGGCGGCCUGCUAAGUCGGACGUGAAAUCCCCCGGCUCAACCGGGGAACUGCGUCCGAUACUGGUGGGCUCGAAUCCGGGAGAGGGAUGUGGAAUUCCAGGUGUAGCGGUGAAAUGCGUAGAUAUCGUGGAGGAACACCGGUGGCGAAGGCGGCAUCCUGGACCGGUACUGACGCUGAGGUGGCGAAAGCGUGGGGAG
rnacentral:rRNA from 1 species